CCUACGAGGGCUGCAGUGAGGAAUAUUGGUCAAUGGGCGCGAGCCUGAACCAGCCACGUAGCGUGAAGGAUGACUGCCCUACGGGUUGUAAACUUCUUUUUUAAAGGAAUAAAGUGAGGCACGUGUUCCCUUUUGUAUGUACUUUAUGAAUAAGGAUCGGCUAACUCCGUGCCAGCAGCCGCGGUAAUACGGAGGAUCCGAGCGUUAUCCGGAUUUUUUUGGUUUAAAGGGAGCGUAGAUGGGUUGUUAAGUCAGUUGUGAAAGUUUGCGGCUCAACCGUAAAAUUGCAAUUGAUACUGGCAGCCUUGAGUACAGUUGAGGUAGGCGGAAUUCGUGGUGUAGCGGUGAAAUGCUUAGAUAUCACGAAGAACUCCGAUUGCGAAGGCAGCUUACUAAACUGCCACUGACAUUGAUGCUCGAAAGUGUGGGUAUCAAACAGGAUUAGAUACCCUUGUAGUC
rnacentral:rRNA from 1 species